GCAGAACGCGAAGAACCUUACCAGGGCUUGAAAUCCUGCGAAGUCUAUCGAAAGAUGGAUGUGCCUUUUGGAACGCAGUGACAGGUGCUGCAUGGCCGUCGUCAGCUCGUGUCGUGAGAUGUUGGGUUAAGUCCCGUAACGAGCGCAACCCCUAUGUUUAGUUGGAUCUUUCUAGGCAGACUGCCUCGGUAACGGGGAGGAAGAGGGGACGACGUCUGGUCUUUAUGGCCCUUAUGUCCUGGGCUAGAAACGCGCUACAAUGGCCGGUACAACGGGCAACAGCGAAAUCGUGAGAUGGAGCAAAUCCCACCAAAGCCGGUCCCAGUUCGGAUAGCAGGCUGAAACUCGCCUGCUUGAAGUCGGAAUCGCUAGUAACCGUAGGUCAGCACACUACGGUGAAUACGUUCCCCGGGUCUUGUACA
rnacentral:rRNA from 1 species